rnacentral:lncRNA from 1 species
UUGCCUGUUGUAUGUAUCGCUCGGGGAAUAUUAAUGCUAUUGCGGCGCUGACAUGUCAUUUUUCUCUACUGGGUUUCCUCCGUCUCUACCCCCCUACUGUACUUGUCUUUCCUCCGGCCGACACGAGUAAAAAUGUAACUCCAAGAGACCUUAGGCUAUGGCCAUGGUGGGUCAAUAAGUCGCCACCACACACUACUUACCUACGGCGCCGAACACACGCGCAUGCAUAUUACUCACCGGACAGACACAGCUUUAAUUGCCCCCAAAUCGCUCGACCAGUCUUCCUAUAUGGACUGGAGCUUUGAUAUUGUAUUCUACUGGAAACCAACUACUAGUAUAUUACAGUGUAUUGAAAAAAAUUAUAUGGACAGAAGCUAGCAUGCACUUCUUCGGAAAAAAAAAAGGGCAGGGGCUAGCUAGCAGCUUAACGCGCACGCGCACUGGCCGGCCCGGGGCGCGCGCCUUUUCAGGUGGUCUUCGAUCUUUUUUUGACAGCAGGGUGGUCUUCGAUCUCGUGUGACUCAUGUCUUCCUUCCCUUGAUUUUCCCAGUCGGAAAAUCAUGAUACGGGAU